GACGAACGCUGGCGGCGUGCCUAAUACAUGCAAGUCGAACGCAGUGGGGACGGGUGAGUAACACGUGGGUAACCUCCCAUCAGAGGGGAUAACACUUGGAAACAGGUGCUAAACCGACACUGAUGGAUGGACCCGCGGUGCAUUAGCUAGUUGGUGAGGUAACGGCUCACCAAGGCCACGAUGCAUAGACGGUCUGAGAGGGUGAUCAGCCACACUGGGACGGAGACACGGCCCAGACGCCGACGGGAGGCAGCAGUGGGGAAUCUUCGGCAAUGGGCGAAAGUCUGACCCAGCAACGCCGCGUGAGUGAAGAAGGUUUUCGGAUCGUAAACCUCUGUUGUUAGGGUAGCGGUAUCUAACCAGAAAGCCACGGCUAACUACGUGCCAGCAGCCGCGGUAAUAC
rnacentral:rRNA from 1 species